ensembl:lncRNA
ACGUUUUCGUAACAUUUUUAAAAUGGUAGGAUGGAAUGUUUCUGUAAUGUUCGCAGAAACCCCACAAAAAAUGUUCUCAAUACAUUAAAAAAACUUGCCGUUCUCAACGUGUACAAAACAUUCCGAAAUAACGUUUUCAUAACUUAAGGGAAAUGUUAGUAAAACGUUCUGACAACUCAUUUUUGUUAGCUGGGUCUACGCAUCAACAUCUUGUUUUUCACAACUGAGAGACUCUUAUAGAUGGGUCCUAUAAACCUCUCCCACCAUCAACUGCUGUGCAAGACCUCAGUGGCCAAAAUGUCAUAUAUGAGCAAGUGUGUUUGCUGCCCAUUACACAACCUGACAAAAUUUGUGAUUAUGACCCUCAAAACCUGGCUGUUGUAGCUGGAUGAUCUGUUGUACUCAUCUGUAUAAAUGGUCGCUAUGACGUCUUCCUGCCAGUGAUGAAUUGCAGACCAUGUCUUGCAUCAUGGACAGCUGAGGUGGUGGACAUGUUGUUUAGUGGUUACUGGCCAGGCACUGUCAAGUUUCAAACCAUAUACCAGGUAGACCUCUUUGCAUCGCUUGAGAUCACUGCACCUGGGCUUUCAAGACAAGCAUUUGUGAAAAUGUUACAACAGCGCUCACAACAAUUUGGAAGGAGUGGUAACAUUUGUGGCAACGUCUUCCAAAAAGCUUUCCUUGAAUGGACAUAUUGUCGUCAUAAAAGAGAAAAACUCUGCGGCAUUGAUCACUUCUCUUGCCCAGCUUGCACCCCAGAUACAGUUGCUGUGUCUGCAGAUGGAAACAGAAAACUAUACAGAUUCAGCAAAACAAAGGGGGCAGAGGAACAACCAUUUUUUGAUGGAGUUUUUCUGGCUAAUGACAAAGAUGUAGCAACAUUUGUUGAUUGUGUUCGUGAGAAGACCAUUCCAGUACAUGGAAAAGGCAUCUGUGGAACAUGAGCAUGGGCUGCAGCCAGGGAGACCUCUAAAAAGACAAACACUAAAUGUGAUGAAGAGGGCCUAGAGGUGGCAGUUUGCAGGCACAGCAUAUUAGGCUGAACAUGCCUAAUAAUUCAGCACUCCUGCAUAUAAGGAGUUUUUCACUUCCAGCCUUCAAAGACAAUUAUAUAUCACUCAUAAAUGAUUAAAUACCAAAUGUGUAGUAUUAUUUUUUUUAUGUCCCUAAAACUGACAGAAAAUGAUAAGGCCUAAGAGAAUUCUUAAGCUGUAAUGAUGAAAAAAAAAAAACAACACACAAUUACUGAUUUUUUUUUUCUUUUUCUUCUUUUUCUGGUGAUUAAAGAGAUAUUAACUCUCUCUCUCUCUCUCUCUCUCUCUCUCUCUCUCUC